rnacentral:rRNA from 1 species
GACGAACGCUAGCGGCGUGCUUAACACAUGCAAGUCGAGCGGUAAGGCCCUUCGGGGUACACGAGCGGCGAACGGGUGAGUAACACGUGGGUGAUCUGCCUUGCACUUCGGGAUAAGCCUGGGAAACCGGGUCUAAUACCGGAUAUGACCACGAGAUGCAUGUCUUGUGGUGGAAAGAUUUAUCGGUGCGAGAUGGGCCCGCGGCCUAUCAGCUUGUUGGUGAGGUAACGGCUCACCAAGGCGACGACGGGUAGCCGACCUGAGAGGGUGACCGGCCACACUGGGACUGAGACACGGCCCAGACUCCUACGGGAGGCAGCAGUGGGGAAUAUUGCACAAUGGGCGAAAGCCUGAUGCAGCGACGCCGCGUGCGGGAUGACGGCCUUCGGGUUGUAAACCGCUUUUGACAGGGACGAAGCGCAAGUGACUGUACCUGUAGAAUAAGGACCGGCCAACUACGUG